rnacentral:lncRNA from 1 species
GAAGAAGAUAAAGAACUAAUGAGCAUAGAAAAUUAUGAUGCCUUAAUAUAUAAUGAAGAUAAAAAAUUAACUACGAUAAAACUUUUAGCAAGAAUUAGAAUAGAAGACUACGAAAUAGAAACAUUAGCUCUAGUAGACUCAGGAGCACAAGAUGUAUAAUAAAUAAGAGGAUAGUUACACCUAAUUUAGUAAAAAUAUUAGACAAGCCAGUAGCAGCCAUGCAAAUGGAUGGAACCCAUAAAAUUUAUUACUUAAUAAAAACAUUAGACAACCAUUAGCAGCCAUGAAAAUGGAUGGAACCCGUAACAUUUAUAAACAUUAUAUAGAUAAAUCACAAAUACUGGUAGUUGUUUGCUUAGUAGAGAUAGAGUAAUAUUUCUUAAAAAUGUUACACAAACACCAGUACAAACAAUAUAAGCCGCAACUAGGAUAAAGACAAGAUUAAAUGAAAACCAGAAAAACCUGCAGGAAAAUGAGAAAGAAUAUUGUAUGAAAUGUAAAGAUUACAAAACCUGCUGUAGGACUAAAGAAGAAACUAAAAUUUUAAUAAUAGAAGAAAACAAAAAUAGAGAUAUACUAGAAAAGGACUAUAUAUUAAUAGACAUCGAAACAGAAUUAUACAAUUCAAAACAGGAUUACAAAGAAUAUGAAUAAUAAAGAAUGAAAAGAUCUUGAGAAUAUAAUAAAAAUUCUAGAUGAGAUAGGAUAAUCGGAGAAAAACCUUUAAAGCACUAUGAAAAUAAUAAAGUGAUGUGUAAAUUAGACAUAAUAAACCCAGAAUAUAUAAUUAAAACGGCUUCAAUAGAAGCUACAAAUGAAGACCUUGAAGACUUCAAAACUCAAAUUAAAUAACUAAUGGACUUAGGUGUAAUAAGGAGAUCUACUUCUAAAUAUGGGUCAGCAACUUUUAUGGUUAGAAAUCACAGUGAAACGGACUUAGGUGUAAUAAGAAGAUCUACUUCUAAGCAUAGGUCAGCAGCUUUUAUGGUUAGAAAUCACAGUGAAAUAAUAAGAGAAAAAUCGAGAAUGGUAAUAAACUAUAAAAGACUCAAUGAUAACACCAGAACAGAUGGAUACAAGCUACCUAAUAAAACAGAACUAAUAAAUAGAAUACAAGGAAAAAAGAUAUUUAGUAAAUUUUAUUGUAAAUCAGGAUAUUGGCAAGUAAAAAUGCAUGAAGAAAGUAUCGAAUGGACAACAUUUACUUGUCCAGAAGGGCAUUUCGAAUGGUUAGUAAUGCCGUUCGGAUUAAAAACAGCUCCACCAAUUUUCCAACGAAAAAUGGAUAAUAUAUUUGGAUAAUAUAAAAGGUUUUUGUUAGUAUAUGUAGGUGAUAUAUUAGUAUUCAAUAAAGAUAUUAAAGAAAACUUAGGACAUCUACAGACAAUAUUUAGAUUAUUUGUAGAUAAUGGAAUAAUCAUUAGUAAAAGUAAAGAUAUUAAAGAACACUUAGGACAUCUACAGACAAUAUUUAGAUUAUUUGUAUAUAAUGGAAUAAUCAUUAGUAAAAAGAAAAUGGAAUUAUGUAAAAAUUAUAUAAACUUUUUAGGAGUAGUUCUAGGGUAUGGGAAGAUUAAGCUACAACCACAUAUAGCUAAAAAGCUUUAGAAAUGCCAGAUAAACUAGGCAAUAAUAAAGAACUACAAAAGUUUCUUGGAAUAGUAAAUUAUGCAAGUAAUUUUAUAAAAGACUUGGAAAAAUAGCAGGACCAUUAUAUGCUAAGAGCGGAUCUACAGGACAAAAACAUUUUAAUACUGAAUAUCAUAAAUUAGUACAAAAAAUUAAAGAAAAAACAUAGAAUAUUCCUGAUCUAACUAUUCCAUUAGAAGCUGAUUAUUUAUUUAUAGAAACAGAUGGAAGUUUUGAGGGAUGGGGAGCAGUUUUAAAAGCAAAACGAAAUAUAUAGUCAUAAGAAUAAAGAAAAAAUAUGUGCAUACCAAAGUGGCAAAUAUAAAGAGAAAGGAAAUAUGAGCAGUAUAAACGCAGAAAUUUUAGCCGUAAUCUAUUGAUUAAACAGUUUUAAAUUAUAUAUUUUCAAUAAGAAGUAAAAAUUAGAACUGAUUAUGAAGCUAUUGUCAAAUUUCACCAAAAGAUAAAUGCAAAAAAUAGUAGUUGAAGAAGAUGGUUAAAUUUUAUUGAUACAAUAUCAAUAUAUAAUUUAGUUUUUGAACAUAUUANNNNNNNNNNNNNNNNNNNNNNNNNNNNNNNNNNNNNNNNNNNNNNNNNAUUAAAGGAAAAGAUAAUAAUUUAGCAGACCAUUUAAGUAGGUUAAAAAUUAUUGUCAAUUAAUAAGAAUAUUUUACAUGUACAGAAUGAGACCAACUGUUCCCAAGAGUGAAGACAAGGGAAAAAAGCGUUCAAGCCUCACCCUCAGACAAAUAUUUGCAGACAGUAUUAGGUAACCUUCAUUUUAUGCCACAAACCAUUACAGAACAAAAUAAUAUAGAAAGGAUAAUUUUUGGGAAGCAUAAUUUACUAUCUUUUCCACCAUCAAAUAUGUCAUUUGGAGUUUUACCAGAAUGUGUUAUAGACAGGCCCCAGAGAUGUUUAAUUGAUAACCUAUGGAUAACAUAUAAUAAGAAAGACACUAAAUAUUUUGAUAGACCCCAGAGAUGUUUAAUUGAUAAUUUAUGGAUUACAUAUAAUAAGAAAGACACUAAAUAUUUUAUAGCAGCUCUUAAUGCCUUGGGGCAAUAUUUUACUGACAAAAAUCAAGAAAAAGGUUUAAAUACUAUGUGGUUGUACACGGUAAGACAAAAGGUAUUUUUCAAACGUGGAUAAAAGUAUUAGACUCUAUUAAAUACAUACAAAAACCAGUUUUUAAAGGUUUUAAUAAUUUUACUGAAGCACUAGAUUACGCAAGAGGAAUACUAGGACCAAAUUACUAUAUUUCCCCAGCACUCAGACAAAACCCAGAAAAAAUCCGAUACAACAUCCAAAAAGACACAGAUGAAAUAAUAUUUUGCGACCACUGCUCAUCAUUGACUGAAGCUUUCAGAAGGUUAAACCAGAAGAAUGAAAUCUUAGAUAAAGAAAAAACCAGACUUAUUGAGCAGGUAAAGGUUUUAGAACAACGGGUGCAUGCUUUAAAAUUUGAAAUAACGCAAUCUCAGACUCAAGUGGUUCCUCAAUAAGAUACAAAGAUAAAAUAGUCCGAAGAAGAGUUCUCCAUCUCAAGAAAAAAUGGAUGAGAAAGGUGUGCAUUCUCCAAUGAAUGCAGAAAAAUCCACUAUAUCGGAUGAUGAUACAGCAAGUCCGGUUCAAACGGUGAGCGGUAAAGACAAAUCAAAUCCUUUUAUGGCUCUCACUUUGCCAAAAAGUGAAGAACAAGGCUCAUCAAGGUGAAGGCUACAGCUAGUCUGGUUCAAACGGUGACCGGUAAAGACAAGUCAAAUUCGUUUAUGGCUGUCACUUUUCCAAAAAGUGAAGAAGAAGGCUCAUCAAGUCGAAGGCUAUCCAGAACAUUAAUACACGGAGAAACAUUAAAGAAAAAGAGUACAAUUGUUAAAAAGAAAAAAAAACAGAAAAUAGAAGAUGUAAUUAAACGGACACUAGAGAAUUUCUUUCAAGAAAAGAAAAAACAAGACAAACAUAUGAUAAAAAAUCCUAGUCUCAGUCCAGAAAGGUUAAGGUCCAGUCCAGAAAGGUCUCAAAGCUCAGGAGAAGACGAUAAUGAAGACCACCUGAAUUAUCAGGAUGCUUUAGAUCCAUAUGAAGACUACGAUUCAGGGAUGAGUUUUAGUUCAAUAGCACUACAUAACUUAGACACAUGAAAAAAUUGUUAUUCCUUAGAAACAAUGAAUCAAGAAAAAAUAAAGAAUAAUAAUAAUGGAGACAACAGGUAGGGACAAGACAUGACAUAAACAAAGAUGUGAUAGAAAGUAAAAAUGUAAGUGGAAAUCAAAACGUGGACGACUAAAAGGAAUCUCUGCACAAGCCAUGUGAAGAUGGGGCACAAUGAAGUACCCUACAAGGCUAGAAGACAAAGAUUUCUAUAAAUGUUUGAAGUCCAUAUUUCAAAUUCGCUCCAAAGUUCAACUAUAAAAGCAAGUCAAAGUAGAAAAAAGGAUCAUCGAAAAAAAGAAGGAAAAUAUAAACACUCUGAAAAAAGCCUACUCAACCAACCUUUCCAUAAACCCAAAAAACCUUUUCCAAACCACUUUGUAAAAUAUUUACCUUAUGAAUAUCCUAGUAGUUCAUCUUCUAAGGUUGUAAAAUAAAUAAAGAUUGUAAGCUUAUGUGUGAUCGUUUUUAAAUCUCGAAGUUCAGCAAACUCUUUUUGGGUUUUCCGAAAGGGAAAUCCCAUCUCUUGUAAACAUGUAAGUUAUUUAUGUUUAUAUAAGUUAUGUUCUAAGAUAUUACCCCUGUUUUUUACAUGCUUAUGAUAUUAUGCAUAGUUUUUAUCAUUGUGUGAAUAAUUAAAUAUCACUCUUAGUAUAUGGUUAUCUUUCCAAUUUCUUAACAAUUUUGAUGGAUUAACCUGUAAAUUCCUAGGAAAGAACUGGUUAAGAUAAACCAAGUGAUAUGUGUGCUAAACCAUGACCAUGGUGAAGUUAAAGAAAAAAGAGUUAGGAAUGGAUUUAAAUCUAUAAAGAAUUGGAGAGAAGAGAUGAACAUAGUAAAAAAAAGUAUGGAAGGGGUAAUCUCAGUACAUAAUUAUGAUUACAGUGUAACGAAGAAUGAAUUAUAGUGUAAUUAAGAAUGAAUUUAUAUAUAUCUACACUAUACAUUUUAUUUAUACAACAGAAAAUCAUAGAAUCUGCAUAGAUAUAUAUAAUAAACAAUUAUAUCUUAUAAUUAGAAUACUAGAAAUUCAUUUAUAUAGUCUUUCUAGAUAUUACUACUUAUAAGUUUAUUUAGUUUUAGUUGUUUUUUCAAAGAAGACAAUAAAUUUAUUUAGUUUUAGUUGUUGUUUUUUCAAUUUAUUUUUAUUUGGUAUCAGAGCUAGAAGAUUUUCGGACCUCAGAGUUUAUGAAACAACAUUAUUUUGCUAAAUAUAUAAGCUGUUUUCAUAAUAUAAUCUAUAUUACUAUAGAAAAUAUAAAGAAUAACAUAGAAUAUAAAAAGACAUUAGAACUACAACAAAAUAUUUUUAGUAAACCAUAACUAAGUGAUUUAAACAUUGAUAAUUUUAAGAAUUUUCUUCUUUUUGAAAUACAAAGAAUUAAUUCAGAAAUAGAACAAGAAAAGAACUAUCUUUAAGUGAUUUAAACACUGGUAAUUUUAAGAAUUUUCUUCUUUUUGAAAUACAAAUAAUUAAUUCAGAAAUAGAACAAGAAAAGGACUAUGUUAGAUUAAUUAAGAAUAAAAUAAAAUAUAUCCCAUUAGGGUGAUACAUAUGUUAAAACAACAUCCGUUAACUAAAGAAAUCGAUUUUCACUAUUCGACUUUAAGAAGAGAUAUAAGAAAGCAAGAAAUAAAGAAAGUAUUAAAAAGGACUAAUACUCUAUACACGUCAAUUUUAGAAUUAGCUAAACAAACAGAAGAAUUCUAAUUAAAAAUAGAUAGAGAACCAAGUUACAUAGUAAAGUGUAUUAUUAGUCCAGAAACUAUAUCAGCUCUAGAGUGGGAAAUAAAAUAUACAAAAGGAAACAUAAAUAGAAAAUGUAAGACCAUCAGGAAAAAGGAUGCCAAUAGAAGAACCUAUAAGAUUACAAGAAGGAGGAAGUAAAUAUCAUGACCAGGAUUUACCCACCAUCGGGAGUCGUGAUGGCGCCUACUGUCGAAGCUAGGCAAGCCAACCAUUAUAAACAUCUCCAAAAAAUUUAAAUCUAAAACAAAUUAAAUACUAAAAUAAUUAGUUAAAACAUGCGAAAGAUGUCUAAUAACAAUAACGAAAACAAUAUGCGGAAAACUAACAACCAAUCUCUACCCAAUAUUUGGUGUCACUGCUCACAGACAACUAAAGAGUGCUAAAAAUAUUAGUCUGAAAGAAAAUACAUAACAUGUAUGUUUAGUACAAUCAAACAAACUAAAAGAAAUAGAUAAAGGAGACUCGGGCCCGCGAACGCCUGCAAGCUACCUCAGAGCCUCUGGACUGAAGGAUCACUCCCGGUUGAAAGCUGCGGUCCGUAGACUGGGUCCUGACCUGUGCACAAAAGGUACAGAAGCGUAGUAUAUGUGCUGGUACGUGUCCGCCCUAACCUUGGAGAGGCAGUGACGAGGGUAACCGGACCUACCAUAAUCAAACUGUACAGAUAUAUACGAUAACAAAAAAGGAAAACAAGAAUUUAAACAACAAAAGGGAGGGGACAUGCUGGGGGGAAUAGCAGUUCAAUUCUAACUUCUAAAAUUAAGAGAUGGAACUGAAUAAAUAGCAUUUAAAUAAGAGAAUCCAAUGAAACAACAACUAAUAAAGCGAAAACGGAAUAAGAAACACCAGUAAAGUAAGACCAAUAAAACCACGUUGCACGGCACCACCCAUCGUGCUUUUACUCUCGUCCUCACCCAAUCAAUAGUCCAGUAAGGUAAGACCAGUAAAACCACUUUGUACGGCACCACCCAUCGUGCUUUUACUCUCGUCCUCAGCCAAUCAGUAGCACCACUCCAUCUUGUGGAGGAAAUCAAUAUAUACCACUCAUCUUGUGGAGGAAAUCAAUAAAUAUCACUCCAUCUUGUGGAGGAAAUCGAAAUAUAUAUACCACUCCAUCUUGUGGAGAAAAUCAAUAAAUACCACUCCAUCUUGAGGAGGAAAUCGAUAUAUAUAUACCACUCCAUCUUGUGGAGGAAAUCAAUAAAUACCACUCCAUCUUGUGGAGGAAANNNNNNNNNNNNNNNNNNNNNNNNNNNNNNNNNNNNNNNNNNNNNNNNNNNNNNNNNNNNNNNNNNNNNNNNNNNNNNNNNNNNNNNNNNNNNNNNNNNNNNNNNNNNNNNNNNNNNUUGGAGGAAAUCAAUAUAUAUCACUCCAUCUUGUGGAGGAAAUCAAUAAGUACAUGACAUCACCCUUCGUGCCUUAUCGCUCCUCCUCACCCAAACAAUAAUCACAAUUAAUGGGAAAAGGAGUAAACAACAAGAUUAACCACCCCAACAAGGGAGAACAAUGCAACAACAAGUCCCGGCAAGGGAAACAAUUUAACAACAAAUCCCGGCAAGGGAAACAGUUUAACAGCAAGUCUCGGCAAGGGAAACAGUUUAACAAGUCCCGACAAGGGAAAUAGUAUAACAACAAGUCCCAGCAAGGAAAAACACCAACUACUUAUCUCUAGUUCAUUUAAUUAUCAUCUUUCACUUCAUAGCUCUUAUAACAAGAAUUUAUCCUAAUUGUUCACUUCUUUCACAAUUCUAAUAACAAAUGACAACACGGUCAUGCUCGACUCGGGCUCAUAGGUAACUGUCACAAUACCUAUCCACUGACUCCACAUAACACAUAGCAAUUAACAACCUAAUCUUAUUCCCUUAAGCCAAAGUUAUAUUGACAACUUACCUCAAAGGCUUCCAACUCAACUCACACCUCUAGAAUAGCUUUACCCCUCGUGGGCCCACGUGGUCAAAACUCGAGAUUCGAACAAAAAUCGGGUUACCCAGUUCCCCCACGAGUUCAUAUAUGUAAUUUUUUUGAAAUCGGACCCCAAAUUGAGGUCCAAAUCCCCAAUUUGAAGAAAACCUAGGUUCAACCCCAAAUCCCCCAUUUUUAACCAUGAAAGCUUUGAUUUAAGGAUGAAAUCAUGUUAGAAUAUGAUAACGAUUUAAGAAAACUAGUAAAAACUGACUUACAUUUGGUUUUGGGAUGAAAGGGUUUGAGAGGAAUAGUCUAUGGUGGUUUUGGGUUUUGACAGAUAUGAAAAAUGAGGUUUAAGUUCGUUUAAGUAACGGUUACACAGACGUAGAUCUCGCAAUUGCGAGAAAGAGUUUGCAAUUAUGAACUGAGCAGCAAGAAUGGGGAUCUUGCAUUUGUGAAAAUAAAUUCGCUAAUGUGAACAUGACUGGAAAAGUAAGGACCUCACAUUUGCGAGAGGAUGUUCCCAAAUGCGAACAGGGCUGGGAAAAGGAGGAACUCGCAUUUGCGAGAUAAGUGGUAACAAAUUCGAACUGGCAAGGAACAAAGAGGGAUCGCAUUUGCGAUAUUAGACUUCGGAAUUGCGAAGUCUGGUUGCUAGGGGAAAUAUUGCAUUUGCGAUAUAAACAUUUUUUUUGCGAUGACAGAGCGAAACGGGGGAUGUUCACAUUUGGGAACAUGUCUUCGCAAUUGCAAAGAAAAAACUACAGACACCAGCAGUGAAAUGCAACAGAAAAUGAGCCUAACACCCAUCCAAAACUCACCCGAGCUCUCGAGGCUCCAACCCAAGCAUGCACCCAUCCUCAAAAACUUCCUACGAACUUACUCGUGCGAUUAAAUUGCCAAAAUAACAUCUAAAUAAAAGAAUAAACCUCCAAAACUCAUGAUUUUCAUUUCAGGUUCAAAUAUUUUCAUAUAAAAAUCUUCUGGCUUCGCGUCUGGACCGUGCACGUAAUCGAGAAAACCCAAUAAGAGGUUUUCAAGGCCUCAGAAGCACAAGGAAAGGGAGAAUUUAUGGUGAUGACCCUCUGGGUCGUCACAUCCUCCACCUCUAAAACAAAUGUUCGUCCUUGAAUGGGCAAAAGAAGGAAGUACCUGAGUUGGGGAAUAGAUGGAGAUAACACCUCUGCAUAUCAGACUCAGACUCCCAGGUCGAUGCCUCAGGAGGAUGACCUCUCCACUGAAUGUGCACUGUAGGAAAACUCCAUGACCUCAACUGUCGAACCUGCCGGUCUAAAAUAGCCACCGGCUCCUCCUCGUAUGACAGAUUCUUAUCCAAUUGGACAGUGCUGAAAUCUAAAACGUGGGUGGGAUCAGCGUGAUAUCUUCGAAGCAUGGAUACAUGGAAAACUGGAUGCACGACUGACAAGCUAGGCGGCAAAGCAAGUCUGUAAGCUACCUCUCCCACACGGUCAAGAAUCUCAAACGGGACAAUAUACCAAGGGCUAAGCUUGCCCUUCUUCCCUAAUCUCAUCACGCCUUUCAUAGGCGAUACACAAAGCAGUACACGCUCACCAACCAUGAAUGUAACAUCCUUGACCUUACGCUCUGCAACACUCUUCUGCCUGGAUUGACCUUGACUAAAGUCUGUCUUGAAUGAUCUUGACCUUAUCCAAGGCCUCCUAUACCAAAUCUGUACCCAAUAACCGAUCAUCUCCCGGCUCAAAAAAUCCGACUGGGGACCGACAUUGCCUACCAUACAACACCUCAUACGGGGCCAUCUGAAUACUAGACUGGAAAGGUCUCGAGGGAUGGCCUCUUUCAUGGAAAUCCCUACCUCCAGAUGAUGUACCACUAAAAUUCCAGAAUGUCGAGGCCUCUUGUCUGAACCUUGACCACCACCUUGAGCCAAAGCCAUCUCUACUCGGCGGGCCGCAUUGGCCGCCUCCUAAAAAGUAAUAUCCUGCCAACCCCCACUGCCAUCUAUAGACGAAUGGACUGAAUCAAUCCAUUAAUAAACCUCCAGAACCUCUCCUGAUCUGAGGGAGUAUCACUACUGCAUGGCGUGCCAAGUUAACAAAUCUGGUCUCGUACUGUGUAACUGUCAUAGAACCUUGAUGAAGAUGCUCAAACUGUCUGCGAAGUGUCUCUCACUGAGUGACGGGGAGAAACUUAUCCAAAAAUAACUCUGCAAAUUGAUCCCAUGUCAAAGAUGGGGACCCUGCUGGUCUAGACAGACAAUAAUCUCUCCACCAAGUCUUGGCGGACCCCACAAGUUUGAAAGUGCAAAAAUCGACCACAUUGGUCUCCACUAUCCCCAUAGUCCUGAGGAUCUCAUGACAACUGUAUAAAAAAUCCUGGGGAUCCUCCGAUUAAGCACCGCUGAAAGUAGUAGUGAAAAGUUUGGAGACCCGAUCACGUCUCCACAAAGCAUCCGAAGACAUGGUCGUCCCAUCUCCGGCCUGAGCUAUAAUGCCGGUCUGAGCUGCCAGAAAAUCCUGUGUAUCCUCCGAUGAAGCACCGCUGAAAUUGGUAAUUUAAAGCUUGGAGAACCGAUCAAGUCUCCAUAGAGCAUCCGAAGACAUGGCCGACCCAUAUCCGGCCUGAGUUGUAAUACCUGUCUGAGCCGCCACUGCAGGCUGGACGCCAAGGGAACCUGAGUCUGGGGAGCUACCUGCUCCGAAGUACGUGUAGAAGGAGUCUGAAGCCCUCCUCAAGCCUGAGAAGUGACUGGUGCUACUGGCAGCAAUCCCACUCUGGCCAUACUGUCUAUAAAGCCUGUUAUGCGGACAAGGGCAUCCUGAAGAUCUGAAGAAAACAUCACUCCUCCUGGGACCUGAGCUUGGCCCACUGGAGCUGGUGGAGUUGGAACCUCCUCAUCAAAGUCAAUAUGAGGCUCUACCUCUAGAACUGAUGCCUGGGGCUGAGCUCUGCACGGAAGAAGAAGACGCACGUGUUCUCUCCAUUUGCGAAAGAAAAGAGUAGAAUGACAAUCAAUACUUGAAAAACAGAAUCGCACGACAAGAGUGAACAAAGUGAAACUUUCCUAACUCAGUAGCCUCUGGGGGAUAAAUACAGACGUCUCCGUACAAACAGAAUCGCACGACAAGAAUGAACAAAGUGAAACUUUCCUAACUAAGUAGCCUCUGGGGAUAAAUAGAGACGUCUCCGUACUAAUCCCUUAAACUCUACCGGGCUUGUCCGAGAGUUGUGAGGCCCAAGUAACCUAGUGCUCUGAUACCAACUUGUCACGACUCGGAUUUACCCAUCAUCGGGAGUCGUGAUGGUGCCUAUUCUCGAAGUUAGGCAAUCCAACCCUUAUAAACAUUUCCAGAAAACUUAAAUCUAAAACAAAUUAAAUGCUAAAACAAUUAGCUAAAAUAUGCGGAAGGCGUCUAAUAACAAUAACAAAAACAAUAUGCGGAAAACUAACAACCAAUCUCUACCCAGUAUCUGGUGUCACUCCUCACAGACAACUAAAGAGUACUAAAAAUAAUAGUCUGAAAAAAAAUGCAUAACAUGUCUGUUCGGUACAAUUAAACAAAAUGAAAGAAAUAGAUAAAGGAGACUCGGGUCCCGCGAAUGCCUACAAGCUACCUCAGAGCCUCUGGAUUGAAGGAUCACUCCCGGUCUAAAGCUGCGGUCCGUAGACUGGGUCCUGACCUGUGCAAAAAAUUCACAGAAGUGUAGUAUCAACACAAAAGGUAAGUGUCCGGCCUAACCUCGGCGAGGUAGUGACGAGGCUAACCGGACCUACCAUAAACAACCUGUACAGAUAUAUACGAUAACCGAAAAGGAAAAUGAGAAUUUAAACAACAAAAAGGGAGGGGACAUGCUGGGGGGAAUAACAGUUCAGCUAUAACUUCUACAAUAAAGAGAUGGAACUGAAUAAAUAGCAUUUAAAUAAGAGAAUCCAAUGAAACAACAACUAAUAAAGGAAAAACGGAAUAAGGAACACCCAUAAGGUAAGGCCAAUAAAACUACGUUUCACGGCACCACCCAUCGUGCUUUUACUCUCGUCCUCACCCAAUCAAUAGCACCACUCCAUCUUGUGGAGGAAAUCAAAUAAGGAAUUCCAGUAAGGUAAGACCAAUAAAACCACGUUGCACGGCACCACCUAUCGUGCUUUUACUCUCGUCCUCACCCAAUCAAUAGCACCACUCCAUAUUGUGGAGGAAAUCAAUAAAUACCACUCCAUCUUGUGGAGGAAAUUGAUAUAUAUAUCACUCCAUCUUGUGGAGGAAAUCAAUAAAUAGCACUCCAUCUUGUGGAGGAAAUCGAUAUAUAUUUGUGGAGGAAAUCAAUAAAUACCACUCCAUCUUGUGGAGGAAAUUGAUAAAUACCACUCCAUCUUGUGGAGAAAAUCAAUAUAUACCACCCAUCUUGUUGAGGAAAUCAAUAAAUACCACUCCAUCUUGUGGAGAAAAUCGAUAAAUACCACUCCAUCUUGUGGAGGAAAUAAAUAUAUGCCACUCUAUCUUGUGGAGGAAAUCAAUAAGUACACGACAUCACCCUUCGUGCUUUAUCGCUCCUCCUCACCCAAACAAUACAAUUAAAGUGAAAAUCAGUAAAUAACAAGAUUAACCAUCACGGAAAGGGAGAACAAUGCAACAACAAGUCCCGGCAAGGAAAACAAUUUAACAACAAGUCCCGGCAAGGGAAACAAUAUAAAUACAAGUCCCGGCAGGGAAAAACACCAACAACUCAUCUCUAGUUCAUUUACUUCUCAUCUUUCACUUCAUAGCUCUNNNNNNNNNNNNNNNNNNNNNNNNNNNNNNNNNNNNNNNNNNNNNNNNNNNNNNNNNNNNNNNNNNNNNNNNNNNNNNNNNNNNNNNNNNNNNNNNNNNNNNNNNNNNNNNNNNNNNNNNNNNNNNNNNNNNNNNNNNNNNNNNNNNNNNNNNNNNNNNNNNNNNNNNNNNNNNNNNNNNNNNNNNNNNNNNNNNNNNNNNNNNNUCGCUUCAAAACCGGUCGAAUCUAACCACAAUUUACUCAAAUGUAUCAACAAAUGCUAGUUAAAUCAAUUUGGAUGCAUAAGAAUGAAAUUCCCAAAAUGCACCGGGCCCACGUGGUCAAGACUCGAGAUUUGAAUAAAAACCAAGUUACCCAUUCCCCCACGAGUUCAUAUGUGUAAUUUGUUUUGAAAUCGGACCCCAAAUUGAGGUCCAAAUCCCCAAUUUUAUGAAAAUCUAGGUUCUACCCCAAAUCCCCCACCUUUAACCAUGAAUGCUUUGAUUUAUGGAUGAAAUUAUGUUAGAAUAUGAUAAAGAUUAAAGAAAGCUAGUAAAAAUUGCCUUACAUUUGGUUUGGGGACGAAAGGGUUCGAGAGGAAUCGUCUAUCGUGGUUUUGGGUUUUGAAAGAUAUGAAAAAUGAGGCUUAAAUUAGUUUAUGUAACAGUUACAUAGAUGCAGAUCUUGCAAUUGCGAGAAAGAGUUCGCAAUUACGAACUGAGAAGCAAGAAGGAGGAUCUCGCAUUUGCGAGAAUAAAUUCGCAAAUGCGAACAUGGCUGGAAAAAUAAGGACCUCGCAUUUGCGAGAGGAUGUUCGCAAAUGCAAACUGGGUGGGGAAAAGGAGGAACUCGCAUUUGCGAGAUAAAUGGUCGCAAAUGCGAACUGGCGAGGAACAUAGAAGGAUCACAUUUGCGAGCUUAGACUUCGGAAUUGCGAAGUUUGGUUGCCAUGGGAAAUAUCACAUUUGCGAUACAAACAGCGCAUUUGCGCUGACAGAGCCAAACGGGGGAUGUUCGCAUUUGCGAACAUGUCUUCGCAAUUGCGAAGACUACAAAUACCAGUAGUGAAAUGCAACAGAAAAUUAGCCUAACACCUAUCAGGAACUCACCCGAGCCCUCGGGGCUCCAAACCAAACAUACACCCAACCUCAAAAAGUGAAAUGCAAGAGAAAAUGAGCCUAACACCUGGCCGAAACUCACUCGAGCCCUCGGGGCUCCAACCCAAACAUGCACCCAACCUCAAAAACAUCCUACUGACUUACUCGUGCGAUCAAAUUGCCAAUAUAACAUCUAAAUCAAAGAAUCAACCUCCAAAACUUAUGAUUUUCAUUUCAAGUUCAAAUAUUUUCAAAUAAAAAUCUUCCCGCUUAGUGCCCGGACAAUGCACGCAAAUCGAGGCAACCCAAUAAGAGGUUUUCGAGGCUUCAGAAGCACAAGGAAAGGGAGAAUUUAUGAUGACGACCUUAUGGGUCGUCACAGUAAAGGUAAAAUAUUAAAUAUAGCUCCACAAAUGUGGAACUCAGUAAUAGACGUAUGGAAAUGAAUAGUAGUAGCUGACUUCAUAAAAACCUAUAAUGACACAGAUGCAGAAACAAUGUAUAAAUAUAUGGAAACCUUCGUAGCAGACUUCAUAAAACACAGAUGCAGAAACAAUGUAUAAAUAUAUAGAAAAUUUCCUGGGAGAAUCAACAAAAGGCUUAUGGGAAGCUUAUAAAUCAGAAUUUCCUCAAGAUUUUAAAAUUUUAAUAGCAAUGGGAGCAAAUCCUUAUAAUUUUACAAAUAAAAUACAUAGCCCGAUCACAGGAGAAGAUCCAAAUAGUGGAUUAGUAGUACUACAAAAGAAUGCUUUAAUAAAAUUAGAACAAUUAAUUAUAAGUAGUUGGUUUCAUAUAAAAAAGUUUUUAAACGAUUACUUUUAUUAUUGUACUAUUAGUGGAAAAGCUUUUGAUCAAGAUUUAGGUAAAGAAUUAUUCACUAAACUAUCAGGAAUCUUAGGAAGAGAAAUAAAAGAACGAUGGUAUAAAAGAGAUGGUGUAAUACAAAAUCCAAAUACAAAAUGGUCUAUAGGGCACAAAGUACAACAUAUUAUGGAAAUAUUACAAGAAAAAUGUACAAAUGUACAAAUACAAAAACAGCUAAAACAGAACAAUAUGAGUUUCUGUAAAUCAACGGUAUAUAUAACACAAUGUUAUGACAAAAUGAAUACAAAAAGAAGAAAUAUAAAAGAUAUAAACCCCAAUACAAUAAAGAAUAUAAUANNNNNNNNNNNNNNNNNNNNNNNNNNNNNNNNNNNNNNNNNNNNNNNNNNUAAACCCCAAUACAAUAAAGAAUAUAAUAAGAAAAAUUAUUAUCUUAGAAAGUCAUCAGCUAGAAAACCCUAUUUAGAUAGAAAUAGACAUGUUAGAAAAUAUAGAACAUAUAGAAACUAUAAAAACAAACUAGAGUGUUUUACUUGUGGGAGUGUAGAACAUUUAGCCAACACCUGCCCUAAAAGAAUCAACAGUAAGACAAGAAAUUCACAGUUAAUAGAAGAUUUUCCAGAAACCCUAAUAAAUGUAGUUGAAUACAUGUCAGACAACGAAAGUAUAUAUUCUAUAGUAAGUGUAGGUAUAGACGAAACCCAAAUAGAAACCUCAGAGUCAGAAGAGGAAGAGUUAAUAAAUGAGAUAGGACAUAGACUAUCUAGAAACCCCAGGUUUUGAUACUCAGUAUUUAAUAGAAAGCGAUUGUUGGUCAGGCUUCCCUUGCUUUAAGGCUGGGUGCCAUCACGACCGGGUUUGGGUCGUGACAAUAAUCCUAUCUAGAAGGAUGUAUUUCAUGUAUAGAAAAAGAUUUUGAAACAAAAAUAAAUAAAGAAGANNNNNNNNNNNNNNNNNNNNNNNNNNNNNNNNNNNNNNNNNNNNNNNNNNNNNNNNNNNNNNNNNNNNNNNNNNNNNNNNNNNNNNNNNNNNNNNNNNNNNNNNNNNNNNNNNNNNNNNNNNNNNNNNNNNNNNGAAAAUAGAAUAAAUGAAUUAGAAAAAAGAAUACAAAAAAUGGAAAAAGGAAAAGAAAAAUUAGAAGAUAUAAGAGGAAAUAUAGCAACCGAAGAAGGCAAAGAACUAGUGAGUAUAGAAAAUUAUGAUGCCUUAAUAUGUAAUGAAGAUAAAAAAUUAACUACGAUAAAUGUAUUAGCAAGAAUUAGAAUAGAAGACUACGAAAUAGAAACAUUAGCUCUAGUAGACUCAGGAUGCACAAGACGUAUAGUAAAUAAGAGGAUAGUUCCACCUAAUUUAAUAAAACAUUAGACAAGUCAGUAGUAGCCAUGCAAAUGGAU